UACGUAGGGUCCGAGCGUUGUCCGGAAUUAUUGGGCGUAAAGAGCUCGUAGGCGGUCUGUCGCGUCGGCUGUGAAAACACGGGGCUCAACUCCGUGCCUGCAGUCGAUACGGGCAGACUAGAGUUCGGUAGGGGAGACUGGAAUUCCUGGUGUAGCGGUGAAAUGCGCAGAUAUCAGGAGGAACACCGGUGGCGAAGGCGGAUCUCUGGGCCAUUACUGACGCUGAGGAGCGAAAGCGUGGGGAGCGAACAGG
rnacentral:rRNA from 1 species